rnacentral:antisense_RNA from 1 species
CUUCACCGAACCGACCAGCAGCGGGGUCCGCCGAUCCUGACCAUAGGUGGCGAGCAGGGCCUGCGCCUC